rnacentral:rRNA from 1 species
ACGAACGCUGGCGGCGUGCUUAACACAUGCAAGUCGAACGAGACGAUUGAAAGCUUGCUUUUGAAAGUCGAGUGGCAAACGGGUGAGUAACGCGUAGACAACCUGCCGUAAAGAUGGGGACAACAGUUCGAAAGGACUGCUAAUACCGAAUGUUGUAGAGUUUCCGCAUGGGAAUCCUACUAAAGGUGGCCUCUACUUGUAAGCUAUCGCUUUACGAUGGGUCUGCGUCUGAUUAGCUAGUUGGUGGGGUAACGGCCUACCAAGGCGACGAUCAGUAGCCGGUCUGAGAGGAUGAACGGCCACAUUGGAACUGAGACACGGUCCAGACUCCUACGGGAGGCAGCAGUGGGGAAUCUUCCGCAAUGGGCGCAAGCCUGACGGAGCAACGCCGCGUGAGUGAAGAAGGGUUUCGACUCGUAAAGCUCUGUUGUCGGGGACGAAUGUGGAGAUGGUGAAUAACCAUUUCCAAUGACGGUACCUGACGAGGAAGCCACGGCUAACUACGUG